rnacentral:rRNA from 1 species
UGGGGAAUCUUCCGCAAUGGACGAAAGUCUGACGGAGCAACGCCGCGUGAGUGAAGAAGGUUUUCGGAUCGUAAAACUCUGUCUUUUGGGGCGAACGUGAGUAUGGUGAACAAUCAUAGUCAGUGACGGUACCAAAGGAGGAGCCACGGCUAACUACGUGCCAGCAGCCGCGGUAAUACGUAGGUGGCAAGCGUUGUCCGGAAUUAUUGGGCGUAAAGAGCGCGUAGGCGGGAUAGUCAGUCUGUUGUAAAAGUGCGGGGCUCAACCCCGUGAUGGCAAUGGAAACAGCUAUUCUUGAGUGCAGGAGAGGAAAGUGGAAUUCCCAGUGUAGCGGUGAAAUGCGUAGAUAUUGGGAGGAACACCAGUGGCGAAGGCGACUUUCUGGACUGUGUCUGACGCUGAGGCGCGAAAGCCAGGGGAGCGAACGGGAUUAGAUACCCCGGUAGUCCUGGCCGUAAACGAUGGGUACUAGGUGUGGGAGGUAUCGACCCCUUCUGUGCCGCAGUUAACACAAUAAGUACUCCGCCUGGGAAGUACGAUCGCAAGAUUAAAACUCAAAUGAAUUGAC